UCUAAAUUGAGAUAUUAUUGGUGAUAACUAAGUAGUCUUCUGGUCUCUGGAUAUAGUUGUCUCAUUGACAAUACCACAUAAAUAAGUAGUCUUCUGGUCUCUGGAUAUAGUUGUCUCAUUGACAAUAUCACAUCUACUUACUUUUAUGUAAAUUCAAAUCAAAUAAUGCAAUUUCAGGAACAGCUACAUAAAAAGUUCUAUUCUAUAUGAUACUCUUCUCCUUAUUGCAUUUAUUGAAUCAAUAAAACCUUGUAACUAAAGGCAACAGUACUAUACCGCUGUUCAAAAGUCGUUAAUCGAUUUAGAGAAAAUAAAUCUAGGUAACAAACUAAAACUGUUAACAUUUUUGAAUGUACAGAGUUUCCUUUAUAAAUAAAAAACCUACUAAAUUGAGCUUUACCAGAUGCUGAUUAUUAUGUGUUUUCUGAAUAACCUAUACGUCUUAUUUGUUUUAAAAUUAUAUAUGCUGAUACACAUAAUAAAUAUGGCUCAAACUAACAAAAGCUCCAUUGGAGGUAUCUAUUAAAAGAGACCUCGAUCUAUAUCAGUAUUUCUUUAUGUUUACUUCAUGGUAUCUAUGGUAACACUCAUGUUCACAUUACAUGUAUUUGUUCACGUUCUGCUGUAUGGCAGAGCUCAUUAUUUUAUGUUUACUUUAUGUUAACUGUUAUCUAUUAAUCUUUAUUUAUGAUGGUGCAAUAAAU
rnacentral:lncRNA from 1 species